GUGGGGAAUAUUGCACAAUGGGCGCAAGCCUGAUGCAGCAACGCCGCGUGAGGGACGACGGCCUUCGGGUUGUAAACCUCUUUUAGCAGGGAAGAAGCGAAAGUGACGGUACCUGCAGAAAAAACACCGGCUAACUACGUGCCAGCAGCCGCGGUAAUACGUAGGGUGCAAGCGUUGUCCGGAAUUAUUGGGCGUAAAGAGCUCGUAGGCGGUUUGUCGCGUCUGCUGUGAAAACCCGAGGCUCAACCUCGGGCCUGCAGUGGGUACGGGCAGACUAGAGUGCGGUAGGGGAGAUUGGAAUUCCUGGUGUAGCGGUGGAAUGCGCAGAUAUCAGGAGGAACACCGAUGGCGAAGGCAGAUCUCUGGGCCGUAACUGACGCUGAGGAGCGAAAGCGUGGGGAGCGAACAGGAUUAGAUACCCUUGUAGUCC
rnacentral:rRNA from 1 species